CGAACGAAACUUUGUGUUAAUACGUACUUUGAAGCCGUCUAUCCGGUGUAUAAAAUCCUCAGCGGAUGGCCUAAUGGAUCGGCCAAAAAUACAACUGGAAGUUGGCCAGAAACAGUCGUAAUAUACUGCAAAAUAAAUGACGGAACGUCACGAGGAAAAUAUCUUAUGAACCAGGUUGAAAUAGCGAGGAAAAACUUCACGUCGCACUUAAACCCAAAGCGCUAACAGUGGGAGAAACGGUUGUCAGAUUUCAUGUACAGUGGUAACUCGACAUAUGAGUUUAAUUCGUUCCGUAACCUUGCUCGUAUCUCAAAGCAAUUUUCCCCACUGAAAUUAAUUGAAAUGCCAUUAAUCCGUUCCAGCUCCCAAAACACCACCUCAGUUGUUUUUGUUAAGUGUUUUUGAAUAAGAAAAAUGUAUUUACAAGAAGAAACAUUUAUUUAUAAAUAACAAAUACAUAUUCUAUAAAAACAUAAUAAAAGAAAAAGUGAAGUGCUUACAGAAGCGCUUAAUUUUCAUCACUGGUCUUCGCUUUUUCGUCACGCUUUGCUCAUUUUCACCUGCAGAUCGUUUAAAAAAACUGUCCAAGGAGGUUUGCUUCUUCCUCCCUUUCAGGAUAUUGCGGAAAUGAAUUAGGCAAGUUUUGUUGAACAACUCCGAUGCACGACCAGUUGCAACUUUUUCGGGGUGAUUUUUAUCCACGAACUCUACAACUUUCUCCCACAUUCCCAAGAUCUCCUUUAUAUCUCUUGUAGAGAUAACUUCCUCCAUCUUUGGCUCCUCUUCAAAACUAAUUUUUCGUUGAACCACCGUAUGCUCCUGCGAAUGUAGAUUGUGUAACUCCUUGGUUGUCAGCUCCUGAGACUGUUCCUCGAUGAGUUCAUUCACAUCUCUCUCAUCCACCUCCAGACCCAUGGAUUUUCCCAUAGAAACAAUCUCCUCUACCACUGACACUUCGGGUUCCAAUCCUUCAAAGGCCCUUUCAGCUACAGCCUCAGGCCACAGCUUCUUCCAUGCAGAGGUUAAGGUCCUCGUUGUAACACCCAGCCAGGCCUUAUCAAUAAUUCUUAGGCGUAUCACGAUGUUAAAGUGGUCCGUCCAGAACUCUCGAAGGGUAAGGUUUAUGUUCUCCGUCAUCUCAAAGCAGUGCCGAAAAAUGUGCUUGGUGUACAACUUCUUAAAAUUAGAAAUCACCUGCUGAUCCAUGGGCUGCAGGAUAGGAGUGGUGUUGGGUGGUAGGUAGAGAACCUUUAUAAACUUGAACUCUUCGAGUAAAUCAUCUUCGAGAUUUGGUGGGUGAGCAGGGACAUUGUCGAGGACAAGAAGUUGCAUGGGUAGGUUGUUUUCCUGUAGAUAUUUUUUAACAGAAGGGCCAAACACCAGGUUUAAUCACUCCACAAAGAAUUUCCUGGUGACCCACGCCUUCGGAUUUGACCUCCACAUAACUUGCAGUUUUUCUUUUAAAAUCUUAUGUGACUUAAAGGCUCUGGGAUUUUCCGAAUGGUAUACUAGCAGAGGCUUGAUUUUGCAGUGCCACGCGCAUUGGCGCAAAGUGCUAGAGCAUCGUGACCUGGCAUCGUCUUCUCCUCUGCCGUUAUGUAAGUCCUAUUCGGCAUCCUUUUCCAGAAAAGCCCUGUCUUAUCACAGUUGAAAACUUGCUGGGGGAUGUAUCCUUUGGCUUCUAUCAGUUCGGAAAACGUUUUGAUGUAAACCUCAGCUGCCUUCACAUCCAAACUUGCUGCCUCACCAUGCCUGACGACAUAGUGAAUGCCGGUCCUUUUCCUAAAGUUGUCAAACCAGCCCCGACUGGCUUUAAAGGAGUCUUCCGAUUCCUCAUUUGUGGAAGUGUGUGGAAUCUGCUUCAGCAAAUCACCGUAAAUCGCUCGUGCCUUCUCACAUAUGAUGCUUUGUGUUAAGAUUCCUCCUUGAAGCUGCUUCUCUGUCACCCGCACCAUCAGUAGUUUCUCCAUCUUUUCAUGGAGAGAGGUCCAGAGCUUAGAAAUUAUUGUAACGCCCUUAGCUGGCAUUAUACCCUUUAUCAACUCCUUCUGUUUAAGCACAGUACAUAUCAUUGAUGUGCUACGCCCGUACAUCCUCGCCAAGUCAAUUACUCGUACACCUUGCUCAUGUUUUUCUAUGAUUUCACGCUUUAAUUCAAUAGAUAUCAUCUUCUUCUUCGGACCCAUGGUUAUAAAAAUAAAUGUGAUAAUGUUUUGUAAAUGUACAAAAAGCAAAAAACGCAAAUCCAACUUAUCAAAAAUGCUUCGAAAACAAGGGAAACAAGCACACAGACUGAGGUCUAGUCUGAGGUGGGAGAAACUGUUAGAUGCUGCACACGACACCAACAUGCGCUUUGCAUGUUGGGUCGUGUGCAGUGGUGUAGUGUGCGAUUCCUUGUAUCUCAACUCUUGCUCUCAUCUCAAAGCAAAAUAUUGCUCGCUCGGCAGCUCGUAUUUCAAAACACUCGUAUAUUAGGGCACUCGUAUGUUGAGGUAUACUGUAUACCACUGUAUACUACAAAUAUGUCUGACGUGAAAGCCCUGCACAAAUGAAUUCCAUAAACAGGAUGACUUUUAACAUGCUGGCUCAAUCAUUGACCAAAAUCAAGUACAGACUGGAUAUUGUAUGUGCUUUAUCAGAAGCAUAUGUGGAAAUGUACUGAUUUAAUGUAGUAACUUUUUCAGAAGCACUUUCUCUUACUAUUAUCUACAGUGCAGUAUACACAAUUAUUUUCCCAAAUUAAUCCACAAAACUAGGGAGGUUUGAGAACACACUGUAUAAUAAUUUAUUAUUUUCAUUGAUGCAAUUAAUUAAAAACUAUUUUUAAAAUUUGUUUUAGGGUGGUGGUGCUGGUGGUUCUGUGAGAGAUGCUGGAGGUAGUUUUGGUAAAAUGGAAGCAGCAAGAGAAGAAGAAUAUUUUAGAAAAAAG
rnacentral:lncRNA from 1 species